rnacentral:rRNA from 1 species
AGUGAACGCUGGCGGUAGGCCUAACACAUGCAAGUCGAACGGCAGCACAGGAGAGCUUGCUCUCUGGGUGGCGAGUGGCGGACGGGUGAGGAAUACAUCGGAAUCUACUCUGUCGUGGGGGAUAACGUAGGGAAACUUACGCUAAUACCGCAUACGACCUACGGGUGAAAGCAGGGGACCUUCGGGCCUUGCGCGAUUGAAUGAGCCGAUGUCGGAUUAGCUAGUUGGCGGGGGAAAGGCCCACCAAGGCGCCGAUCCGUAGCUGGUCUGAGAGGAUGGUCAGCCACACUGGAACUAAGACACGGUCCAGACUCCUACGGGGGGCAGCAGUCGGGAAUAUUGGACAAUGGGCGCAAGCCUGAUCCAGCCAUACCGCGUGGGUGAAGAAGGCCUUCGGGUUGUAAAGCCCUUUUGUUGGGAAAGAAAUCCAGCUGGCUAAUACCCGGUUGGGAUGACGGUACCCAAAGAAUAGGCACCGGCUAACUUCGUGCCAGCAGCCGCCGCCG